UACGGAGGGAGCUAGCGUUAUUCGGAAUUACUGGGCGUAAAGCGCACGUAGGCGGCUUUGUAAGUAAGAGGUGAAAGCCCAGAGCUCAACUCUGGAAUUGCCUUUUAGACUGCAUCGCUUGAAUCAUGGAGAGGUCAGUGGAAUUCCGAGUGUAGAGGUGAAAUUCGUAGAUAUUCGGAAGAACACCAGUGGCGAAGGCGGCUCACUGGCUCGAUACUGACGCUGAGGUGCGAAAGCGCGGGGAGCAAACAGG
rnacentral:rRNA from 1 species